GCCGCUUUCGUCUAGGGGACUAGGACGCCAGGUUCUCAACCUGGUAACACCGGUUCGAAUCCGGUAAGCGGCA
rnacentral:tRNA from 1 species